rnacentral:lncRNA from 10 species
GGGAAGCCUGAGGGACCCAGACGAAACAAACCAGCCAGGAGCCAGAUAGGUUUGCACUUCUCAUUACAACUGGGGGAGAAUCUAUCCUAAUUCUGAAGACAUUCUGGGAAGAAGAUCUCACCAGCUCUCUCGUUAUCGCUAAUGUGAAACAUCCGUCACUUGUGGAAAAUCUGUCUGAAGGACAUCUAAUUUCCUCAGACUGGAGUUUAUUCCCAUUUCCUUUAAAUGAGACUUCAGUGAGGACCACAUAAGAUUUCUGUUAACCAACCACUUAGAGAAACGGGAUUGAAGGAGCUAGGAGUGCCUAUAAAGCUCUUAGAACAGUGUCUGUCAUAUAAUGGGCUUUCAAAGAACAUUAGCUGCCAUAAUAGUAAUGAUUGUAAAAUUAUGGAGGGAGACAUCAGGUUUUUUGUCUAUCUGAAUAGUUUUGGGAUUAGCAGCUCUGACUGCCUGGUAGUGGUUGAUUUGGGUGUUGUACCCUGAGGUUACAUCCUGGGUCAGUGGCAAGGAACACAUGAUUAAUGGCUGACAUGAGUGAGGGAAGGGGGCAGGAAAGGAAUGGCCACAUUGCAUCAACUGUCUGCCAUCCUGUAAUGAUGACUGUAAGCUCUUUGAGGGGAGGGACCCUAUCUUAUUAGUCCUGUGUCCCUAGUACUUAGCACGGUGUCUAACAAAGAAGAACAAAAUAUGUAUUGAAUAAUUGAAUGUUGACUAUCUUUAAAAAAUCACUCAAGAAAAUAUAAGUUAUUGUAUGACUGAUAUUCCUGUCACCUAGUCUC